rnacentral:rRNA from 1 species
UACGUAGGGGGCGAGCGUUGUCCGGAGUUACUGGGCGUAAAGCGCUUGUAGGCGGUCCACCAAGUUUGGGGUGACAGUUGCCGACUUAAUCGGCAAAGUGCCUCAAAGACUGGCGGACUUGAGGGCCACAGAGGGACAUGGAACUCCAGGUGUAGUGGUGAAAUGCGUAGAUAUCAGGAGGAACACCGGUGGCGAAGGCGGUUCUCUGGGCAUUACCUGACGCUGAUGCACGAAAGCUGGGGGGAGCAAACAGG